GGGUGAAAUUGACACACAAUGAGGAGUCGGGAACAACCUCACCGAACGCCGCUGUAAAUAAAAUAGAAUAAGAACCGAAGAUAGGGAAUCAUGGAUAAUCAGUGCACGGUGCAGGUAAAGCUGGAGUUGGGGCAUCGAGCCCAGCUCAGGAAGAAGGUGACGUCGGAGGGCUUCACGCACGACUGGAUGGUGUUCGUGCGCGGCCCUGAGAUGGGCGACAUCCAGCACUUUGUGGAGAAGGUGGUGUUCCGGCUGCACGAGAGCUUCCCCAAGCCCAAGAGAGUGCGGAAGGAACCGCCCUACAAAGUGGAGGAGUCUGGGUACGCCGGCUUCCUCAUGCCCAUCGAGGUCUACUUCAAAAAUAAGGAGGAGCCAAAGAAGGUGUGCUUCAACUACGACCUCUUCCUGAACCUGGAGGGAAACCCACCUGUCAAUCACCUGCGCUGUGAAAAACUCACCUUCAACAAUCCCACCAGCGAAUUCAGACACAAACUGCUGAAAGCCGGAGGGGUUAUGGUCGUCCCUGAGGGCUCAGAAUCGGUGUCGCGGCCCAGCCCCGACUACCCCAUGCUUCCCACAAUCCCGCUGUCCGCCUUCUCCGACCCCAAGAAGACCAAGCACUCCCACGGGUCAAAGGAGCCCAGUAAAGACGGCAGUGGGGGGAACAGCAAGGGCCCGCGGCCCCACAAAGUGACCAAGGAGCACCGCGAACGGCCCCGCAAGUACUCCGAGAGCAAGACCGCGUCCAAGGGCGAGGGCGACCGCGAACGGGAACGGGAACGGGACCGCGACAGCGCCAGCAACAGCAGCAAGCCCGCCCGCGACCCCGCCUCUUCGUCGUCGUCCUCCUCCUCCAAGAAGCCCGCGGAGGUCAAGGUCAAGGAGGAGAGCAAGGCUCCGCCCAAGGCCGCCUUCAAGGAGCCCAAGCUGACGCUGAAGGACCCCAAGAUGGAGGGCACGUCCCCCAAAGGGGGCGGCGCGGGCCCGCCCGAGUCCAAGGCCCCCAGCAAGCGGCCCUCGGCCCAGGAGUCCCCGAAACCCAGCGUCAAGAAGCAGAAGAAGGGGGCGGGGUCAGAGGGGUCGAAGGGCGCGGGAGGAGGGGGAGGCGGCGGGGGGUUUACCGGCACCUCCCCGCGCAUCUCCACCACCUCCUCCACCACCUCCUCAGCGCCCCCCGCCUGCCCCGACAGCAAGAAGGCCUCCAAGGACAAGGGCCGCUGGAUGAAGGUGAAGUCGGAGAUGUCCGAGGCCAAGGAGCACAAGAAGCCCCCGGAAUCGGACGAGUCCAACUCCGAGGACGAGGCCUCGUCAAAGUCCGAGCAGUCGGCCCCUUCCAGCCCCUCAAACUCCAGCAGCAGCUCAGACUCCAGCUCGGACUCGGACUUUGAGCCCUCACAGAAGCAAGGCCAAGGCCCCCUACGCUCCAUGGUGGAGGACCUGCAGUCUGAGGAGUCUGACGACGACGACAGCAGCUCUGAAGAGGAGACGCACGUGAAGACCAACCCGCCGAACCGUGACUCCCGCUUGAGCCUGGACAGUGAGAGUGACAGCAGCGAUGGCUGCCAUCGGCCCGUUCCAGAGCCUCCUCCCCCGCCCCAGAAACACAGCUCCUCCAACAACAAGAUGUCCGGGAGGAAAAGUCCUGACCCAUGCAGCCGGUCGGAGAAGAUGCUGAAGAAGGGAUACGACAAGGUAGGAAGGGUAAAUCACACUUUUAUUUUUUAUCAUUCUGCUUCUCUGUUUGACCCUCUGUGUGCUUUGUGUGUCCUACUUCAGUCACAGGUCCCCAGAACCCUAACCCUACUACUGCAUACUACCUACUGCCACUACAAACUACCUACUGCCACUACAACUACCUACCUACAACCACUACAACUACCUACUGUUACUACAACUACCUACCUACUGCCACUACAAACUACCUACCUACAGCCACUACAACUACCUACUGUUACUACAACUACCUACCUACAGCCACUACAACUACCUACUAUUAAUACUACUAACCUCUACUACCUGUUGUUGCUGUUGCAGCACUUACUGCUACAUAAGUAAAAGUAAGAAUAUAGUAACUAUUCAGUCCUUAGUUGCGCGCAACAUGUAGUAGACCUUUACAAAUAAAGAGAAACUAUAAGGCGAAAAGGCAUGUGUACUCAGAAUGUACAUAUCAAAUCAAAAACACUGAGAAAAUCUAAAGUAAUAAUAAUGUAAUGUUCAAGUACAUAAUUAUGAGGAAAUGUUAAAGAAAGGAGCAGCAAUUAGAGAACAGUCCGGCACAGUUCCACAGCCGGUAAAUGAUGGGUACUACAACUCCCAUGAUGCUCUGCUCUCUCCCCAGGCCUACACAGAGGAACUGGUGGAACUCCACCGCAGACUGAUGGCUCUGAGAGAGCGCAACGUUCUACAGCAGAUUGUAAAUCUUAUCGAAGAGACUGGCCACUUCAACGUCACCAACACCACCUUUGACUUUGACCUCUUCUCAUUGGA